AUGGCGGACGACGAUAAGAACAAGCAACUGGCAGAGUACUCCGAUGCGGCUAAAGUAUUUGCUGCUCCGGCGAGUUCGUCGUACCCACGAUUUGAUCCCGAAAAUUUCGGGGUCUGGAAGGCCCUCAUGGAGUGUGGUCUCCGCGCCAACGAGCUAUGGGACGCGGUCGACCCAGGAGGCAACGCGUUCAAGAAGGAGGGAGCCGAGCACCGGAAGGAUUGGCAGGCGGCGUCGGCGAUUUAUUUGGUGAUGCCGAUGGAUGUCCUCCAGCACCUGAUCGCCAAAGCAACGGCGAAGGAGGUGUGGGAUACGCUGAAACUCAUGUUCGAGGGACACACCCGCGUCAAGCAAGCCAAUCUCCAAACUCUCCUAAGGAACUACGAGACAUUGGUCAUGGGCGACGAUGAGUCCGUGGAUGCGUUCGCUUCACGGGUAGCUACUCUCGUCAAUCGGAUUCGCGCGCUUGGAGAAAACCUAACGGAGACCUCGGUUGUCCGGCGGUUCUUGCGCGCGGCCCCUCCCCGCUACCUGCAAAUUGUCACAGCAAUCGAGCAGUGCGUCGAUCUCGCGACUCUCUCCAUCGACGAUCUUGUCGGACGGUACAAGGCUCAUGAUGAGUGGAUGUGGUACAGUCUUGGGGACGAGAGGAACGACGAGCUUGUGAUGCUCACAAAGGCGCAGUGGAUCGCCCUUGAAAAGCAAGGCGGAUCCACAAGGAGCAGCAAGAAGAAGGGCAAGCAGCGCUCGACGAGAAAGAACUUCGCUGACUCAGAUGACGACUCAGACAAUGGGGCUGCACCGCCACCGAGGAGAAAGUUUGACAUCAAGAAAAUGAGGUGUUAUAACUGUGGCCUCCUCGGUCACUUCAAGGCUGACUGCGAGGAAGCACCGACGCAGAAGGCGCUCAUGGCCCAGCAAGGAGAUGAUGGUGACAUGAUGUUGAUGAGCGAACUUGUGGACGAGGAGGACCCAGUUCUUCAAGUGUCGGCUAAGGAAAUUGUCGCGCUCCCUGAAGAAAAGAUUCACUCUCAAGAUCAUGGUUCGGAAACUCGUGUCGAUACUGCGGACGCGGGGGGUGAUUCCGAAGCUUACAUCGAUGUUACGGGCAUAAGUGCUAACUUCGCUGGAGUGGAUGCAGCGAUUGCCGCGUGUGCUCGGCCGUGGAGAAGCAGCCUUGUUACAGAUCUGAGAAACACGAAUGUCACUUCGGUGUACGUGGCACCUGAAGAGCACGAAUCAGAGUAUGCUGAUGUUGAGGUGAACAAGUACGCAGCGAUUAUGUCAAUGGAAGAUAGUGCAUCCGGUCGUGCGGCUAGCUCGUGUGUAUUGGAUGCUAGUGCAAGUAGUAUCCCACGAAGAAAUAUGGGAGCAUCUUGCGUUGGGCCAAUAACGAGCAGGCCAGAGAGAGGCAAUAGUAGUGAUGGCUGUUGCAGCCCACGUACUGGCAUGUAA
rnacentral:rRNA from 1 species